rnacentral:rRNA from 1 species
AUGCAGCAAGGGGGCAAUCUCGUGAACGGAGUGCCCAUUGGUCCACCGGUCUUCCCAAAAUUUGGUGUUAUGGCCAUUCGCAAUGGAUGUGUGGGUGCUGGCGAAGAAGAAGGCCUGCUCCUCGACAAGGAACUGGAGGCCGAGACCAGCCCAUGCACGGCGCUCGUCGGUUUUGCUGAACCAGAGCCAACGGGUCCUGAGCGCCAUGCCGAUGCGCUCCAGGUCAUGCACUCCCAAUCUGCCAAGGCUCCUGAGGCACGCGACGCAGCCCCAGUUGACAUGGCAGCGGCCUCCUUUGGCUUCGGCGCACCCAGCCCAAACGAACCCGCGCUGGAUAUGCUCGAGCAUGCGGAGGAUCCUCUUUGGGGGCGCCAACACAAGCAGCUGGUGUAG